rnacentral:rRNA from 1 species
UACGUAGGGUGCAAGCGUUAAUCGGAAUUACUGGGCGUAAAGCGUGCGCAGGCGGUGAUGUAAGACAGUUGUGAAAUCCCCGGGCUCAACCUGGGAACUGGCAUCUGUGACUGCAUCGCUGGAGUGCGGCAGAGGGGGAUGGAAUUCCGGCGUGUAGCAGUGAAAUGCGUAGAUAUGCGGAGGAACACCGAUGGCGAAGGCAAUCCCCGUGGGCCU